GGAAAGGUAGCUCAGUUGGUAGAGCAGUUGGCUUUUAACCAAUUGGUCCUGGGUUCGAGUCCCAGCCCUUCCA
rnacentral:tRNA from 1 species